GGCUUAAUGAUUUUAAUUUUAAGUCUAUCUGCCCAAUGAUUUUAAAUUUAAUGGCUGCAGUAUAAUUGACUGUACAAAGGUAGCAUAAUCAAUUGUUUUUUAAUUAAAAACUGGAAUGAAAGAAUUAAUGAGAUAUAUACUGUCUCAUAUAUAUAUAAUUAAUUUAAAUUUUUAGUAAAAAUGCUAAAAUAAAUUUAUGGGACGAUAAGACCCUAUAGAAUUUUAUAUUAAUAUAUAAAUUAAAAAUUAUUUUGUAUAUUAAUAUUUAAUUGGGAGGAUUAAUAAAUUUGUAAAACUUUAUUUUAAAUAAAAACUUUGAUUAGAGAAUUUAUAAUGAUUAUGUAUUAUGAAUUAUAAGAAUAAAUUACCUUAGGGAUAACAGCGUAAUAUCUUUUUAAAGAUCAAAUUGAUAAAGAUGAUUGCGACCUCGAUGUUGAAUUAAGAUAAAUUUUAAAUGUAGAAGUUUAAUAAUUGAGUCUGUUCGACUCUUAAAAUCUUACAUGAUUUGAGUUCAAAUCGACGUGAGU
rnacentral:rRNA from 1 species